UUAUGUGGUUCAGAACUGUGAUAUGACCUUCUCUCUCUUGUAUGUGUCUCUCUGUUUCUCCAGGUUACCUUGUCCGCAUGGAGGCGCUGAUCAAAGCAGCGAUCCCCGCGCCGGUUCAUCUCCCGAACCGCUCGGCAGCGACCCAGAGGCCCCCGAAUCAUGUCUCAGUCCGUCGCUCUCGUUCCAGGAAAAAUGGGGAAGUGAAUGGACUAUAUUGCACUCCCUCACAUAUUGGAUCGGAAAAUCAGGGAGAUGAGCAGAUGACAGAGGAAAUUAGUCAGCCAUCAAAUCUUGAAGCAGAGGGAAAACAUGCCGACAUCUGGCGGCGUUUUAAAGAAGCUCAACAAAAUAUUUUGUAUUUAAACAAACAGCGACUCCUGGUCAUUGAGGAGCUAGAAAAAGUAAACAGAGAGAAACAACUGUUGCUUGGCCAGAUAGAGCAGUUUCAGCUGCGAAAUCAAGCUGCUGAUGGGAGAGCUAAUGGCACUGAUAGGCUAUCAAUUUUGUGGGAGUUGCUGCAUCGAAUAGACUCAAUGGUCCUUACACAAAAGGCCAAUAUUGUGGAGGCAUCCAAUUGGAGGAGGCUAAUCAUGGAUGGCAAAGUUAGUAUAGCUUAUGUCUUCUCUGAUGUCCUGGACCAAAGAGAUUCAGAGCUUCUUGAGAAACUUCGCCAAUUUGCAGAUGGAAGCAAAAGGAAUGGUUUUCACAUUGUUCAGAUAUGCACUGAAAUGGAACCUUUGGUCUAUGUUGGAUCUUUGGCAUCAUAUGUAACAGGGUUGAGCCGUGCACUACAAAGAAAGGGCCACACUGUAGAGGUUAUUUUACCCAAGUAUGCAAGGCUGAACCUUGGAGAGGUUCAAGGGCUAAGAGAAAUCGAGGCAGAGUUCUAUUCAUACUAUAAUGGUCAGCUGCAUGGAAAUAGGAUUUGGACUGGAAUCGUCUGUGGUAUUGGAGUUACUCUCAUCGAGCCUAUAUUUUUCUUGUCCUUUUUUAGCCGUGAGAAGAUAUAUGGCUACUCAGAUGACUUUGAGCGGUUUUCUUAUUUCUCCCGUGCUGCAUUAGAUUAUUUGGUCAAAGCUGGAAAGAAGCCUGAUGUUUUGCAUAUACACAACUGGCAAACUUCUAUUGUAGGGCCUCUUUUCUGGGACAUUUUUGUGAAACAGGGACUUGAAGGUACAAAAAUAUUACUAACUUGCCACGACCUUAAUUCACAGUGUCUUGAGCAACCUCAAAAGCUGGCUCUAAGUGGACUAGAACCUGCUCGUCUUCAUCGCCCAGAUCGUUUCCAAGACAAUGCUAGGGCAUCCCUUGUAAACUUGUUGAAGGGUGGAAUCGUAUACUCGAACAAAGUUUUAAUUGUUUCAUCCAUGCACUCCAAAGGAAGGAUAAUCCGUAAUUUUGGUUAUGGUUUGGAGCCCACCUUGGCAACUCACAAGGACAAGUUGCUAAUCGCUCCCAGUGGGUUUGACAACUCCACAUGGGAUCCUUUCCAGGACAAAUUUCUUCCCAAAAACUACAGUGCAGAUGACUUGGAGGGUAAAGCAAUUUGCAAAGUUGCAUUGCAGCAGCAUGUGGGUUUGCCUAAGGAUGCUUCUGUUGCACUCGUUGGAUGGAUCUACCAAGAAGUAUCAGAUAUUGACCAAAAGACACUAAAAACUGUUGUCCAGAGCAUCACACAUGGGGGUGGCCAGCUUAUCUUGGCAAGGAUAGACAAGUUGACAAAUCUGGAUAGGGCCUCUGAAUCUUUCGUGAAAGAUCUGAAGGUAUUGGCGGGAACGGAUGAAAACGUGAGAUUCAUAGACAGAUACGAUGAAGCUCUGUCCCACUUGAUAUUUGCUGGUUCUGACAUUAUCUUGUGUCAGUCUUUUGAGGAUCCUACACUACAAGUGCCGAUGAAGGCAUUGAAAUAUGGAGCUGCUCCAGUCGCAAUGUCUUCUUCUGAUGAUAGAUCCAGGCACAUUGUUGAUCCCGACCAUGAUUUCUCAGAGUACUCACAGUUCAUGAAGUCCACAUUUGAGAAUAUAUCUCUCAACAAAGCCCUAGAGGAAAUGAGGAGUAAUCCUUCCAAAUGGAAGCGAAAGAUGGCGGAUGCAAUGGACAAGGACUUCUCCUGGGAUGCAGAAACAUGCGACAUACAUAUCUCUGCUUAUGCAGCUUUACAGAACUUGUAGAGUAGUUGUAACACUAUGAGCAGGUGUAUAACUGUAUAUAUAGCCGUCGAUCAUAGUACUAGAUAACCGCUAGAAAGCCGCUUUAUGAUCGGGGAAUCCUUCGGAGAGUGCCUGCAAAUUGGCCCGAUGCCCGGUUGCUAAGAAGAAUUAUACGAUAAAAACAGGCAUCAUUUACAGGCCAUAAAGGCUUUAUGUAGUGUAAUUCUUUGUUUCAAGGUAUCUA